rnacentral:rRNA from 1 species
UGCCAGACUCCUACGGGAGGCAGCAGUGAGGAAUAUUGGUCAAUGGGCGCGAGCCUGAACCAGCCAAGUCGCGUGAGGGAUGACGGCCCUACGGGUUGUAAACCUCUUUUGUCGGGGAGCAAAGCGAACCACGUGUGGUUCAUUGAGAGUACCCGAAGAAAAAGCAUCGGCUAACUCCGUGCCAGCAGCCGCGGUAAUACGGAGGAUGCGAGCGUUAUCCGGAUUUAUUGGGUUUAAAGGGUGCGCAGGCGGAAUGUCAAGUCAGCGGUAAAAUUUCGGGGCUCAACCCCGUCGUGCCGUUGAAACUGGCGUUCUUGAGUGAGCGAGAAGUAUGCGGAAUGCGUGGUGUAGCGGUGAAAUGCAUAGAUAUCACGCAGAACUCCGAUUGCGAAGGCAGCAUACCGGCGCUCAACUGACGCUCAUGCACGAAAGCGUGGGUAUCGAACAGGAUUAGAUACCCGUGUAU